AUUGCCUACAAGCCCGUAGCGUAGAUGGCUUGAGUGAGGAGGAGGAAAAGGAGAUCGAGCGCAUAGAGUAGGGUGUCGGUACAUCUCAAUAAUCCUCUGGGCCUUCGAUUCAUGAUUUGUUGCAGACUCUGCUCACUGAGGUCUUGGGUACACAUGGAGCUGCGGAGCGGCCGCAGGGGAGAGUAACAGGGAUGGAGGGUUACCUCACAAGUAUUGAGGAAGAGUUAGCAUUGUGGCAUUCAUAUCGACAAGUUGCACCUAAGAUUUCGGUCAUGUCUGGCAUUUGAGGACCUGCAGUUCCAUUGGGAAGUGACCAGUCAAAAUGGUACAGCAGCUUAGCAAGAAGAAGCUCAACACCUGCCGAACCAAAUGAUAUUCCUGGGCAAAUCCUUCUUCCUCCACCAAAUGGGAUAUACUCGAAAUUCGACCCUAUUGAGUCAAUGCCACUGUCAAGAAAUCUCUCCGGUUUAAACUUUUCGGGGUUCGGCCAAACUUCAGGAUCACGAUGAAUUGCCCAGGCAUUUAUCAUGACUUUAGUUUUGAUGGGAAUAUCGUAACCAGCAAUCUUACAUGCCUCCCUGCAUUCUCUUGGAAGUAUCAGUGGAAGAGGAGGG